rnacentral:tRNA from 1 species
AUUCUAAUAGCUUAUUAAGAGCAUGAUAGUGAAGUUAUCAAGGAGAUUUUUGUCUUAGAAUA